rnacentral:rRNA from 1 species
UACAGGGGGGGCAAGCGUUGUUCGGAAUUACUGGGCGUAAAGGGUUCGUAGGUGGCCACUUAAGUCAGACGUGAAAUCCCUCAGCUUAACUGGGGAACUGCGUCUGAUACUGGAUGGCUUGAGUGCAGGAGAGGAAUGCGGAAUUCCAGGUGUAGCGGUGAAAUGCGCAGAUAUCAGGAGGAACACCGGUGGCGAAGGCGGCAUUCUGGACUGUAACUGACACUGAGGAACGAAAGCCAGGGGAGCAAACGGG